AACUUUCAACAACGGAUCACUUGGCUCUGGCAUCGAUGAAGAACGCAGCGAAAUGCGAUACGUAAUGCGAAUUGCAGAUCCAGUGAAUCAUCGAGUCUUUGAACGCAUAUUGCGCCCCCCGGCACUCCGGGGGGCUUGUCCGACCGAGCGCCGCAGCGCCGCCCAGGCAAGAGCCGCGACGCCCACCCGCGGCGGCUCUUGAACUGGUGUUGGGGCAUGCGACACCCGAAGCAGCCCUCAAAUCCAGCCGCGACCGCCGUAGUGCGUGGCCCCCAGGCUCAGUAUGUCUACCUACGAGCCUCGAGGGGUCCCUGCGACGGCCCGUUGAUCUAGCCCGCGCCCAAAGAUGGCCCGACGCUAAGUACCGGUUGGCCUCGGGUCGGACAAGGCUACCCGCUGAACUUAAGCAUAUCAAUAAGCGGAGGCU
rnacentral:misc_RNA from 1 species